UGGGGAAUAUUGCGCAAUGGGCGAAAGCCUGACGCAGCGACGCCGCGUGGGGGAUGAAGCUUUUCGGAGUGUAAACCCCUUUCGACCCGGAAGAAUGUCCCGCAAGGGAUUGACGGUACGGGUAUAAGAAGCCCCGGCUAACUACGUGCCAGCAGCCGCGGUAAUACGUAGGGGGCCAGCGUUGCUCGGAAUUACUGGGCGUAAAGGGUUCGUAGGCGGUGCGGCAAGUCGGAAGUGAAAUCCCUGGGCUCAACUCAGGGGCUGCUCCCGAAACUGCCGUGCUUGAGUGCGGGAGAGGCGAGUGGAAUUACAGGUGUAGCGGUGAAAUGCGUAGAUAUCUGUAGGAACACCCGUGGCGAAGGCGGCUCGCUGGACCGCAACUGACGCUGAGGAACGAAAGCUAGGGGAGCAAACAG
rnacentral:rRNA from 1 species